rnacentral:rRNA from 1 species
CUACGGGGGGCUCCAGUGGGGAAUAUUGCACAAUGGGCGAAAGCCUGAUGCAGCGACGCCGCGUGAAGGAAGAAGGUCUUCGGAUUGUAAACUUCUAUCAGCAGGGAAGAAUAAAUGACGGUACCUGACUAAGAAGCUCCGGCUAACUACGUGCCAGCAGCCGCGGUAAUACGUAGGGAGCGAGCGUUAUCCGGAUUUACUGGGUGUAAAGGGUGCGUAGGCGGUUUGUUAAGUCAGAAGUGAAAUUUAGGGGCUCAACCUCUAAGCUGCUUCUGAAACUGAUGAACUAGAGUGUGGGAGAGGAAAGUGGAAUUCCGAGUGUAGCGGUGAAAUGCGUAGAGAUUCGGAGGAACACCAGUAGCGAAGGCGGCUUUCUGGACCAUAACUGACGCUGAGGCACGAAAGCGUGGGGAGCGAACAGGAUUAGAUACCCCCGUAGUC